rnacentral:rRNA from 1 species
GUGUCAGCAGCCGCGGUAAAACGUAGGGGGCAAGCGUUGUCCGGUAUUACUGGGCGUAAAGGGCGUGUAGGCGGCUCUACAAGUCAGUCGUGAAACCUACCGGCUUAACCGGUAGCUGGCGAUUGAAACUGUCGGGCUUGAGUGCAGAAGAGGGGAGUGGAAUUCCCAGUGUAGCGGUGAAAUGCGUAGAUAUUGGGAGGAGUACCAGUGGCGAAAGCGGCUCCCUGGCCUGUAACUGACGCUGAGGCGCGAAAGCGUGGGUAGCAAACAGGAUUAGAUACCCCAGUAGUCC